rnacentral:lncRNA from 1 species
AACAGGUAAGAAACACUUUUAAAAACCUUAGUUUAGGUUUUAAAUACUCAAAGCCAUUUCUGUGACAAAUAGAGGACACAUUCAGGGCUUCGGUCUGCUGCAGCUAAUGGUAACGUUAGUUAAUGUCGUCGCCGAGCUAAUGUAGUCGCCGAGAGUUAGUUGUUUUGACAGUGACAACGUGGUGUUGACACACGCCGACUCGGUGCUCAACGAGACGGCGGAAUAUAAUUCCACCGGCCCAUCACUAUCAUGUACCGGCCCAUCAUCCGAAAUGAUUAACACAGCGGCACAAGCAUAAUUUUCUCCAAGAGCUAUACCUAUGUUAAUUUGUCUGACUGACUGAGUUUUAUACUGCUACUCGCAAUCGGUCUUCCCACUCAUGGUAACUAUUUUUCGAUUUUUUUUUUAAGUGUCUUCUAAUAUGUGUUUUACAGACUUCGGAAGUCCAAAGUAAGAAAAGAUCUCAACCUUAUUAAUAAACACCUCUAAAUUGGUUCUUACACAGCCGAAGUGUUCUCAACUGUGCGGAUUGAGGUAGAGAAUUUGGAUUUGCAUACAUACACGCAACGCGGCACCCAGUUCUACGCAUGCGCUCAACCCAUGAGGCCCAGUGAUGCUGGUGGCGAUACGAUACAACGACCUACCCAAAGAUGACAGAGAGAAGGAGAGGGAGGAGAAAAACUCCUGAUCAGGAUGCUAUUGACCACAUUACCAUUGGAGAAGACAAAUCUUUCCUGGAAGGAAGAUUUAUUAACACACAUAAAGGGAGAGGUGUGCUUACACAAGACUACAUUGAACCAAAAAGUUUUGUGGUGGAGUAUCGUGGAGUUUUGUCUCUGAGCGACAGUGCAGAUGACAAAAACAGCAAAUAUGCAUUUGAGUUCAUGUGGAAUGGGAAGCACUAUUGGUAAGAUUGCUGCUUGUUCAUCAACGUCUUACUUGUUCAAAGAGAAGUUGUGUUUUUUUUGUAGGGUACAUUCAAUAACAACAA